rnacentral:rRNA from 1 species
GGUUGAUCCUGCCAGUAGUCAUAUGCUUGUGUUAAAGAUUAAGCCAUGCAUGCCUUAGUAUAGGUGGAUAAAGAACCGAGACUGCGGAUGGCUCAAUAAAUCAGUCAUAAUUAAUUUGGUGAGGAUGAUUUGGAGGGUGUUUUUAGGAUAUACGUGUAUAUUUUAGAAAGACGACGACGAAGAGAGAAGGAUAACCCUGUUAAUUGUAGAGCUAAUACAUGAAGACGAUAUUUCCAUGUCAGAGUGGGAAUAGCAUUUAUCAGCUCGAUAUCUCCUGCAUUGUGUGUGCUGU